GGAGGCAGCAGUAGGGAAUCUUCCACAAUGGACGAAAGUCUGAUGGAGCAAUGCCGCGUGAGUGAAGAAGGUUUUCGGAUCGUAAAACUCUGUUGUUGAAGAAGAACAUAUGUGAGAGUAACUGUUCACGUACUGACGGUAUUCAACCAGAAAGCCACGGCUAACUACGUGCCAGCAGCCGCGGUAAUACGUAGGUGGCAAGCGUUGUCCGGAUUUAUUGGGCGUAAAGAGAAUGUAGGCGGUUUAUUAAGUUUGAAGUGAAAGCCCUCGGCUCAACCGAGGAAGUGCUUCGAAAACUGGUAAACUUGAGUGCAGAAGAGGAAAGUGGAACUCCAUGUGUAGCGGUGGAAU
rnacentral:rRNA from 1 species